CACGUAGGGGGCGAGCGUUGUCCGGAUUUAUUGGGCGUAAAGAGCUCGUAGGCGGUUCGAUAAGUCGGGUGUGAAAACUCUGGGCUCAACUCAGAGACGCCACCCGAUACUGUUGUGACUUGAGUCCGGUAGGGGAGUAUGGAAUUCCCGGUGUAGCGGUGAAAUGCGCAGAUAUCGGGAGGAACACCAGUGGCGAAGGCGGUACUCUGGGCCGGAACUGACGCUGAGGAGCGAAAGCGUGGGUAGCGAACCGG
rnacentral:rRNA from 1 species